UAGGGAAUCUUCGGCAAUGGACGGAAGUCUGACCGAGCAACGCCGCGUGAGUGAAGAAGGUUUUCGGAUCGUAAAGCUCUGUUGUAAGAGAAGAACGAGUGUGAGAGUGGAAAGUUCACACUGUGACGGUAUCUUACCAGAAAGGGACGGCUAACUACGUGCCAGCAGCCGCGGUAAUACGUAGGUCCCGAGCGUUGUCCGGAUUUAUUGGGCGUAAAGCGAGCGCAGGCGGUUAGAUAAGUCUGAAGUUAAAGGCUGUGGCUUAACCAUAGUAGGCUUUGGAAACUGUUUAACUUGAGUGCAAGAGGGGAGAGUGGAAUUCCAUGUGUAGCGGUGAAAUGCGUAGAUAUAUGGAGGAACACCGGUGGCGAAAGCGGCUCUCUGGCUUGUAACUGACGCUGAGGCUCGAAAGCGUGGGGAGCAAACAGGAUUAGAUACCCUGGUAGUCCACGCUGUAAACGAUGAGUGCUAGGUGUUAGACCCUUUCCGGGGUUUAGUGCCGUAGCUGCAUUAAGCACUCCGCCUGGGGAGUACGACCGCAAGGUU
rnacentral:rRNA from 1 species